CAGCAGCCACGGGAAUACGGAGGGGGCUAGCGUUGUUCGGAAUUACUGGGCGUAAAGCGCACGUAGGCGGCUUUACAAGUCAGAGGUGAAAGCCUGGUGCCCAACACCAGAAUUGCCUUUGAGACUGUAUCGCUUGAACGUCGGAGAGGUGAGUGGAAUUCCGAGUGUAGAGGUGAAAUUCGUAGAUAUUCGGAAGAACACCAGUGGCGAAGGCGGCUCACUGGACGACUGUUGACGCUGAGGUGCGAAAGCGUGGGGAGCAAACAGGAUUAGAUACCCCCGUAGUCCCUGUCUCUUAUAC
rnacentral:rRNA from 1 species